UCUCGCCACCCACAGGCAACACCAUACAGUUCGGUCUUCUGUCCCGGGGGAAUUCCGCUGGCUGUGCAAACUCAGGUCGGUAAUUACACUCUGCCGAUGUACAACGAGCGAAAAACAGAUGCGGAAACCGUAGCAGAUCCACCUAGCAGGUUCGAACCUCAGUCAAAAGGCCAGGUGGUGGCUCGCAGUUGCCGGUAAAGCUUCAAGGACUCAAGGAAGCAGGAGAGUUUCCUCAUGAUGGACACCAUAGCAGAUCCACCUAGGCUCGAACCUCAGUCAAACGGCCAGGUUGUGGCUCCCAGUUGCCGGUAAGCUUCAAGGACCCAAGGAAACAGGACAGUUUCCUCAUGAUGGAAACCAUAGCAGAUCCACCUAGCAGGCUCGAACCUCAGUCAAACGGCCAGGUGGUGGCUCGCAGUUGCCGGUAAGCUUCAAGGACCCAAGGAAGCAGGAAAGUUUGCUCAUGAUGGGCUUGCGGCGAACCACUACUUGCACUUCAACAACGUCCUUCCCGUCAUCGGCGUAGGUCUCAUAGCCCUCUAGAUCUUCUUCGGUUAC
rnacentral:lncRNA from 1 species